rnacentral:lncRNA from 1 species
GUUUUAGAUAUCUAUAUAAGUCACUUCAAUAUUUGAAAUACAAAAUAAAGUUUACUAUAAUUUCCUCAGCAGCAAAACGGUCAUUAGAGUUGUCUGCACUAGCAGACGUGACGUGACUUCCAUCUUCCUAACUGUAAACUGCAAACACGUCUGAAUCGCGUUGCGUUUUAUUACGGAACGUCACUCAAACAGACAAACCACGCC